ACAAACCACUAUGCAGCAUGGGCCCAAGGGCCCAAUACAACCAAACAAAAAAAUGAUUUUAAAAAAAACAUAGUAAAAAGCGUUGCAAAGUUUCCGGAGAUAGCGUCGGUGACGGUUCCAACUUCUGAUAAGAUUUUCUUUCCUCAUUGACUUCUAUGCUCUUUGCUUUAGAAACUCUCCAUUUUCUCCUUCUGCUUGUCUGAAGCUUGUGCGGGGUUUGACUCAGAUUUGCAAGGUGUUUUUUCUUUUGGGUGAGGUUAAGGAUAAAAUUUGGCAUAGCUUUUUCGGGAUUUUCUUGGUGGUGUAGUGAGUGGAAAAGAGUGUAUUAUAUAGGAGAGUGGGGAGUGAGCCUGAAAAUCUGCAUGAGCAUGGAUUGAGGGGGAAAAUAAAGGACUGAGAGUGAAUUAGGGGGGAAAUUUUGUUGUAGUGUGAAAGUUAUGAAGACUCGAGGAACUCGUGAGUGUAUUUGACUAUGUCUCAUUUUAUUUUAUUUUUAUUUUUAAUUCAAUUCAAAGUGUAUGUUAUGAUUUGAUGUUGUGGUGUUAUGGUAUGUGGGAUAGCACGCGUUUUUUGCUUUAAUCUGUUUUAAAAUUUCACUUAGUUGGUUAUGUAUGAUACAGGAUGAUGCAUAGUGAUAUGUUUAGGGCAUGAGGCAUGGAAGGAUCAACAAACAAGGCGUGACUCAAACUUGCAGUUCAACUUUAACUUUCUUCUCUUUUUUUCUUUUAAAAAAUAAUUAGUUGUGAUGUAUUUAGGAUAUGGUAUGUAUGGGAUCUAUUAUUCACAUGUAUGCUGCAAUAUAGACAAAUUCUCUUCUUUUAUCUUUGAAUUACACUUUGUUCACGAUAUAAAUUAGAGAAAAGAAAGCAUGUGUGUUGUUGGAAAAAUAUGUGUACUUAAUUUAAUCCCUACUUAUUUUCUUCUUUUUUAAUUAAGUUAUGUUGCUCAUGCAUUAAAAAAUGAAA
rnacentral:lncRNA from 1 species